UUGAUACUCCCUCCGUCCCGAAUUACUUGUUGCAGGUAUGGAUGUAUCAAGAUGUAUUUUAGUUCUAGAUACGUCCAUUUCAACGAUUAAUUUGGAACGGAGGGAGUACAUG
rnacentral:pre_miRNA from 1 species